GUAACAAGGUCUCCGUUGGUGAACCAGCGGAGGGAUCAUUAAA
rnacentral:rRNA from 1 species